GCUGAAACAACUAAUCGAUUUAAUCGAUUAUAAUCGAUUAUUAAAAUAGUUAACAACUUUUUUAGUCAUCGAUUAGUUGUUUAAUAAUCAUAUUUUACUGCAUAAAGUCUAUUUUUACCACAAUCUGACAUCGAUUACAAGCUGUUAAAUUUGCCGCCAGUGUGUGGCAGUAAUGAGGCACUGAUCUACCAGUGGAGCCGUAGAAGAAGAAAUGAGCCAAUGAGUGCCCUCGGUUUUCAUGACGUAUCACGUUACUGACGCUCAUCUUGCUGUGAGAGAUGGCGGAACAAGAGGAAAUACGGAAGAAAAAUAGAAGCGACAAAACUGAAGAGAAACCGAGUAGGACCUGAGAAACCCCGGACAAAAACCUCACGAGUAUGGGAGCACUUCACUCUAGAUGCCUUGUAAAGACGGGUGACCUGCAAAAUAUGCAAAAACCAUCUAGCAUGGCACGGAAGCACGACGUCCCUAAGUGAACAUUUGAGACGAAAUCAUGUGGGGGCUGAUGCAGCAGAGGAAGAGCACCGCGGUCAAGUGAGCCGUCAUUUGGAAGAGCCAGCCCGAAAAAAAGAAGCAAGGAUGGACAACUACAUGGGGAACAAGACACUCACCCCCCAGCAAUUCAUACCACUUACAAACUCUAUUCUAAACAUGCUGGUAAAAGACAUGAGGCCACUAUCCAUGGUGGAAGGAGCAGGCUUCCAGCUAAUGCUAAAAAAUUAUUCUGGACUGAUAUUUUGCACUGUUUAGCUCAUUUUAUACUGCUGACUGUGUUCAUGUGCAAUAAAAUAGAUUGCAGUCAACUGCA